rnacentral:lncRNA from 1 species
UUAAAUUCAGUAGCAAUUCAACUCAUCUCCAAAAUCACGAAGUCCUGAAAAUAUAGCUUUUUAGAGUAGUUUAGCUUCGGUUAUUUUAAAUUCUAGGUCUGAUAUAUAGUUGGAGCUUUUACAAAAGUUGUAGAGUGUACUUUAAAGAACAAGGUUUUCAAUUAGAUCUUGGACUAAAUCAUCCUAGAUCCUGUUCAAAUUCUAGGCUAAACUUAGCAUUAACUUCUAAUUCAGCACAUCAGCUCUAAGUCUAAAGCAGUGAAAGUCUACAAAUUGGCAUGAUGAUUUAUCCUAAGUUUGAAACCAAACACUAGCGGAACCUCUUAUAAAAGUUGGAGUAUACAACCUAGAAUACAACUUCACCCAUUGGGCCUUGGUCAAAAUCUCAGCAGAACCUUUUCAAAAAUGGAUCCUAAGUGAGUUAAAAUGCUGAAAAUCAGCCUUCACGCGAAAAACAACUGAG